rnacentral:rRNA from 1 species
UACGUAGGGGGCGAGCGUUGUCCGGAUUCAUUGGGCGUAAAGAGCUCGUAGGUGGUUCGUUAAGUCUGAUGUGAAAGCCCUGGGCUCAACCUGGGAAUGGCAUUGGAAACUGGCGACCUAGAGUGCGGUAGAGGGUAGUGGAAUUCCCGGUGUAGCAGUGAAAUGCGUAGAGAUCGGGAGGAACAUCCGUGGCGAAGGCGACUACCUGGACCAGCACUGACACUGAGGCACGAAAGCGUGGGGAGCAAACAGG